UGUGUUGUAUUUAAGGUCCGACCGAGAUCUCGGUCUCGAUCUCGGUCUCGGCUCUCGGCCAAAAUGGGCCGAGAUUCUUGCCGAGACCGAGAAUAAGCAAU